CAGACGGUUGUUCCACAGACGACAUAACUAUUUCAUCCUGCUCUUCCAGUUUUGUGUCCACAGGCAUUAAUCGAUCAAUGUUGCAGAUAAUAGCUAGAUACCAAUGAAAUGUUUCAUUGAUAGGAACAAUAAUGUAUUUUUUAUGGAAAAGGUCAACUUUUUGAGUCCACUUUCGAACUCCUCUAUGACCUAGCCGCUUGCUAUAUUACCCAUUAGUGAUCAAAUAAUUGAUAGAAGUAAAGCCUGUUACAUA